AUUAUGGGAAAACGUCUUUGCAUAUGGACUUUCUAUGUUUGGCCUAUUAUUAUUUCUUUAUUUCUUGGGAAACUUGCAGGUUUACAUGCAGCGUAGUGCUUCAAACAAUGUGAUUUCUGAAAAUGAUAAGAAACUGGAAUUUGAUGCUGCUGUUGAAAUAAUACUAAAAGAAUUGGGACAGUACAAGCAGCGUGUUGCUCAGAAUUUGGAAUUGACAGCGGAAUCACCCCAAACCGUACGAUGCUGUUGUUGAACCCAAGACACCUUCUAUUUUACAAAGACCGAUUGCUGAUGCUUUAAGAAAACUAGUUCUGAAUCCAUAAGGAGUACCUGACAUUGUUAUUGCAGAGCAAUGGUUUGUUUUGAUGUCUUUGCUGUUUUCAGAUUUGUUUUUCUAGUGAUGGAGUUGCUACUUGUUUGGAUUCUGAGUAAUGAUGGCAAAAUUAGGAAAAGGACAACGUGUGAAUUCUGUUUGAUGAACGGUAUUAAAUUCAAUAAGGAUUGUGUUUGUGUGUAGUU